UACGUAGGGUGCGAGCGUUGUCCGGAAUUAUUGGGCGUAAAGAGCUUGUAGGCGGUUUGUCGCGUCUGCCCGUGAAAGUCCGGGGCUCAACUCCGGAUCUGCGGUGGGUACGGGCAGACUAGAGUGAUGUAGGGGAGACUGGAAUUCCUGGUGUAGCGGUGAAAUGCGCAGAUAUCAGGAGGAACACCGAUGGCGAAGGCAGCCUCCUGGGCCAGCACUGACGCUCAUGCACGAAAGCGUGGGGAGCAAACAGG
rnacentral:rRNA from 1 species